UUAACUAUUGUAUAGUACUCAGACGACACUAACGUUCGGGUUGAGGGUCCUCUGGCGGGCGCGUCCCAGCCGGAGCCGGUGCCCGAGGGCGGCCCGCCAAAGCAACAGGGUACAAGAACACACGGGUGGGAGGUCUACCCUCUCGGGCAGGAACACUCUGUAAUGAUCCUUCCGCAGGUUCACCUACGGAAA
rnacentral:misc_RNA from 1 species